CUCUCUAGAGGACGUGCUACACCACUUCCGCAACUAACUGGCUAAUCUUGUUAGUAGCAAUGCCAUUAGAAUAACAGAAACACUUCAAAGACUAUUUGAACCUGUAACUCUUUCGGAAGGAGCUUGACAUCGAUUGGUCCCCAUCUACUUUCAUUAUACGGAAGAGAGCGGCUUGGACGUUCUGCUAAAGUUCUCAUUCUGUGUUCUACUGAGGAAAGAAGCUCAAAUGGUUUUGGAACGACAUGAGGCUCAUCAAAAUUGCAUGCUUGUGACAUCUGAGCGGGUUCACACUCUCAAAAGACAUACUUUUUCCAGUGCAGAGCUCCAGCUGGGAAAAAAACAGAGCAUGCCUUGUAUGAUGCAAUCCAAAUAUCAUCAUAUCAGUGAGAUUAAAAUGAUAGUGACAGAGAUUAUCAACAAAACAUGAAAGGAUCUGCAUUUCUUUGCCAUUAGCAGGGAAAGAUAGUCGCCAAAAAUGCGAGGCCUUUAAGAAAGAGUUUCCUCCCAAUUAUAUGACUUUCAAAAGUUGUUUGUGAAAUUUUUAUAGAAAUACCACACGGUUUUGUUGGUGCUGUGCAGAAUCCUGUUUCCAGGAUAUUGUCUUCCUAGUAAUUUCCUCAUUUCAACCAGAGCGGUUUCACAAUGAGCUGUCAACACACAUAAGCAGAGGUGGAUGUGAAGGUCUAACAUGUCCAUAACAAACCCGGUGCAAAUGCCUCAUUCAACUUUUGACCCAGAGAACACUUACCUAACACUAACUGCAGCUGAUUAAAUGCUUUUUACCACCAUGACAAAGCAACUAAUUAGCUUAUAGAUGUUAUGUAUGAUGCAUUCUUAAAGGGAUAAU